rnacentral:hammerhead_ribozyme from 1 species
AUCCAGCUGUGGAGUCCGGAAAGGGACGAAACGAGCGUCCUGUAU